AUAAUAGCUUAUGUUGAAUAUUGCCAAAAAGAUCUUACCAUUAAAUCAAGCAAUAUUUCACAUUCAACAGAAGAAGUACAAUCAUUGUAUUUAAAAAGUAUAUCAGAUCGAAAACUUUCAACUGAGAGUGCUAUUCCCUAAGAUAAUAGCUGUGGCAAGUAAAGGAGGCCAGACUUUAAAGGAGGCUGUCCAGAGAAUUUCCUUUGCGUUAUUCACUAAUAACCUCUGCUGUAAACUUAACUGGUCUGGUAUUACCAUAAAUGACAAUGAAAGUAACUUUGUAAAACAAAGACUUACACUUGCUUAAAAGAGCUGUAAAAAGAAAUCCUGCAACAACUUCAGCAACUGAAUCAGAUUUUCAAUAUGAGGUUGUGCGUUUUUUGCGUGGUGCAUCAGACCGCAAUGGCAGAAAAAAAGUUAGACAAGACCAAAAAAACAAACAAAGCCAAGAAAAAAGUGAUGC